AUGAAUCAGGGAGCAGUUGGUCAUGGACCGUUUCAAUGGACAUGGAAUUCAUCAGUUUCAUUCCUCUAUGGGGGUCUUGCACCCAUUUUUAUUGUUAUUGGAAUAGCAUUGCUGACAGUGGCUUGUUCGCGGUGUCUUAGGCCUGAAAUGGAUCAUUUGCCGAAUACAACUAGUGAUUCGAACAAGUCAAGAGGUGAAACAAGUAAUGAAAUUGAUCGUGAACCUAACGUUCUGGUUAUUGUGGCAGGCGAAAACCACCCUACUCAUUUGGCAUUGCCUAGUCGUCACUCAUAA